UAUGCAGGGGUCUUGUAUGAAUUACAGC
rnacentral:sRNA from 1 species